rnacentral:rRNA from 1 species
UACGUAGGGUGCGAGCGUUAAUCGGAAUUACUGGGCGUAAAGCGUGCGCAGGCGGUGAUGUAAGACAGAUGUGAAAUCCCCGGGCUCAACCUGGGAACUGCAUUUGUGACUGCAUCGCUGGAGUGCGGCAGAGGGGGAUGGAAUUCCGCGUGUAGCAGUGAAAUGCGUAGAUAUGCGGAGGAACACCGAUGGCGAAGGCAAUCCCCUGGGCCUGCACUGACGCUCAUGCACGAAAGCGUGGGAGCAACA